rnacentral:rRNA from 1 species
GACGAACGCUGGCGGCGUGCUUAACACAUGCAAGUCGAACGGAAAGGCCCUGCUGUUGUGGGGUGCUCGAGUGGCGAACGGGUGAGUAACACGUGAGUAACCUGCCCUUGACUUUGGGAUAACUUCAGGAAACUGGGGCUAAUACCGGAUAGGAGCUCCUGCUGCAUGGUGGGGGUUGGAAAGUUUCGGCGGUUGGGGAUGGACUCGCGGCUUAUCAGCUUGUUGGUGGGGUAGUGGCUUACCAAGGCUUUGACGGGUAGCCGGCCUGAGAGGGUGACCGGCCACAUUGGGACUGAGCUACGGCCCAGUCUCCUACGGGAGGCAGCAGUGGGGAAUAUUGCACAAUGGGCGGAAGCCUGAUGCAGCAACGCCGCGUGCGGGAUGACGGCCUUCGGGUUGUAAACCGCUUUCGCCUGUGACGAAGCGUGAGUGACGGUAAUGGGUAAAGAAGCACCGGCUAACUACGUG